rfam:Dorea sp. 5-2 genomic scaffold acPFE-supercont1.8, whole genome shotgun sequence.
CGACGGAGUGGUUUGGCACCUCGAUGUCGGCUCAUCGCAUCCUGGGGCUGAAGUAGGUCCCAAGGGUUGGGCUGUUCGCCCAUUAAAGCGGUACGCGAGCUGGGUUCAGAACGUCGUGAGACAGUUCGGUCCCUAUCCGGCGCGGGCGUAGGAUAUUUGAGAGGAGCUGUCCUUAGUACGAGAGGACCGGGAUGGACUGGCCGCUGGUGUAUCUGUUGGCUUAUCAAGGCCAUGGCAGAGUAGCCAAGCCGGGAGGGGAUAAACGCUGAAGGCAUCUAAGCGUGAAGCCCCCCUCAAGAUGAGAUAUCCCUACCAAAAGGUAGUAAGACCCCUUGAAGACGACGAGGUAGAUAGGGCGGAGGUGGAAGUGCAGUAAUGUAUGGAGCUGACCGCAACUAAUCGGUCGAGGGCAUGACCAA